UACGGGGGGAGCAAGCGUUUGUUCGGAUUUACUGGGCGUAAAGGGCGCGUAGGCGGUCGUGACAAGUCACUUGUGAAAUCUCCGGGCUUAACUCGGAACGGUCAAGUGAUACUGUCGGACUAGAGUACAGAAGGGGCAACUGGAAUUCUCGGUGUAGCGGUGAAAUGCGUAGAUAUCGAGAGGAACACCUGCGGCGAAGGCGGGUUGCUGGGCUGAUACUGACGCUGAGGCGCGAAAAGCUAGGGGGAGCGAACGGG
rnacentral:rRNA from 1 species